rnacentral:rRNA from 1 species
GACGGAGGAUGCAAGUGUUAUCCGGAAUCACUGGGCGUAAAGCGUCUGUAGGUGGUUUAAUAAGUCAACUGUUAAAUCUUGAGGCUCAACCUCAAAAUCGCAGUCGAAACUAUUAGGCUAGAGUAUAGUAGGGGUAAAGGGAAUUUCCAGUGGAGCGGUGAAAUGCGUAGAGAUUGGAAAGAACACCGAUGGCGAAGGCAGCCCCCUGGGCCAAUACUGACGCUCAGGCACGAAAGCGUGGGGAGCAAACAGG